GUACACUCCUGCGGGAGGCAGCAGUGGGGAAUUUUGGACAAUGGGCGAAAGCCUGAUCCAGCAAUGCCGCGUGAGUGAAGAAGGCCUUCGGGUUGUAAAGCUCUUUUGUCAGGGAAGAAACGGUGAGAGCUAAUAUCUCUUGCUAAUGACGGUACCUGAAGAAUAAGCACCGGCUAACUACGUGCCAGCAGCCGCGGUAAUACGUAGGGUGCAAGCGUUAAUCGGAAUUACUGGGCGUAAAGCGUGCGCAGGCGGUUUUGUAAGUCUGAUGUGAAAUCCCCGGGCUCAACCUGGGAAUUGCAUUGGAGACUGCAAGGCUAGAAUCUGGCAGAGGGGGGUAGAAUUCCACGUGUAGCAGUGAAAUGCGUAGAUAUGUGGAGGAACACCGAUGGCGAAGGCAGCCCCCUGGGUCAAGAUUGACGCUCAUGCACGAAAGCGUGGGGAGCAAACAGGAUUAGAUACCCUUGUAGUCCC
rnacentral:rRNA from 1 species